rnacentral:rRNA from 1 species
GAUGAACGCUGGCGGCGUGCCUAAUACAUGCAAGUCGAGCGAACAGACGAGGAGCUUGCUCCUCUGACGUUAGCGGCGGACGGGUGAGUAACACGUGGAUAACCUACCUAUAAGACUGGGAUAACUUCGGGAAACCGGAGCUAAUACCGGAUAAUAUAUUGAACCGCAUGGUUCAAUAGUGAAAGACGGUUUUGCUGUCACUUAUAGAUGGAUCCGCGCCGCAUUAGUUAGUUGGUAAGGUAACGGCUUACCAAGGCAACGAUGCGUAGCCGACCUGAGAGGGUGAUCGGCCACACUGGAACUGAGACACGGUCCAGACUCCUACGGGAGGCAGCAGUAGGGAAUCUUCCGCAAUGGGCGAAAGCCUGACGGGGCAACGCCGCGUGAGUGAUGAAGGUCUUCGGAUCGUAAAACUCUGUUAUUAGGGAAGAACAAAUGUGUAAGUAACUAUGCACGUCUUGACGGUACCUAAUCAGAAAGCCACGGCUAACUACGUG